GUAGAGAUGUAGAGAGAUUUACUGAGAGGUAGGGAGAUGUAAUGAGAGGUAGGGAUAUAGGGAAGUUUACUGAGAGGUAGGGAGGUGAAUGAGAGGUAGGGAUAUAGGGAAGUUUACUGAGAGGUAGGGAGGUUUACUGGGAGGUAGGGAUGUAGGGAAGUUUACUGAGAGGUAGGAAGGUUUACUGGGGGGUAGGGAGGUUUACUGGGAGGUAGGGAUGUAGGGAUGUAGGGAAGUUUACUGAGAGGUAGGGAGUUUUACUGGGAGGUAAGAAGGUUUACUGAGAGGUAGGGAGGUUUACUGAGAGGCAGGGAGGCUUACUGAGAGGUAGGGAGGUUUACUGGGAGGCAGGGAGGCUGACUGAGAGGUAGGGAGGUAGGGAGGUUUACUGGGAGGUUUACCGGGAGGUAGGGAGGUUUACUGGGAGGUAGAGAGGUUUACUGGGAGGUAGAGAGGUUUACUGGGAGGUAGGGAGGUUUACUGGGAGGUAGGGAGGUUUACUCGGAGGUAGAGAGGAUUUACUGAGAGGUAGAGAGAUUUACUGGGAAGUAUGGAGGUUUACCGGAAGGCAGGGAGGUUUACUGGGAGGUUUACUGGGAGGUAGGGAGGUUUACUGGGAGGUAGGGCGGUUUACUGGGAGGUAGGGAGGUUUACUGGGAAGUAUGGAGGUUUACUGGAAGAUAGGGAGGUUUACUGGGAGGUAGGGAGGUUUACCGGGAGGUAGAGAGGUAUGGAGGUUUACUGAGAGGUAGGGAAGUAGAGAGGUUUACUGGGAGGUAGGGGAGGUUUACUGGGAGGUAGGGAGGUAGGGAGUUAGAGAGGUGUACUGAGAGGUAGG
ensembl:lncRNA